ensembl:lncRNA
CAGCGGAGCAAGAAAGCAACGCAAUGUCCUCAGUGUAACAGGUAAGCGGAGCGACUUCCUCAGCGGAACAGGUGAGCAGAGCGACUUCCUCAGUGGGGCUGGAGCUCAGAGCGAUGUCUGCGGGGCAGGACAGCGGGACAAGGGUUGGCAGGACGGGAGAGGGGAGCGAGGUUUUCCGCGAGGCCAGGGAGGGGAGGAGGGGAGCGAGGUUCUCCGCGAGGCCAAAGGGAGGAACGAUGCUCUCCACAGCGCACGAGGGGAAAAUUAUGCCCUCUGUGGAGCAGGAAGGGGGAGUGACAUACGGCGUGCAGCAAAGAAGAGGAAUGGCGUCUUCAGCAGAACAUGGAGGCAGAGCGACGUCCUCGGCCGAGCAGGAAGGCAGAGCGACGUCCUCGGCCGAGCAGGAAGGCAGAGCGACGUUUUCGGCCGAGCAGGAUGGCAGAGCGACGUCCUCGGCCGAGCAGGAUGGCAGAGCGACGUCCUCGGCCGAGCAGGAUGGCAGAG